AGCGCCGGCGAGUGCCAGGACUGCGUGGCGGAGGCGGUCGGCCGGCUCAGGGCGGAGUGCGGGGCCGCCGGCUGGGGGGAUGUGUUCUUGGGGAAGUGCUACGCGCGGUUCUCGCACGCCGGAGUGCGCCCCCACGGCGGCGGCGGCGGAAAUGAUGUUAGAAACGACGACGUAGAGAUUGAAAAGACCCUCGCAGUAAUAAUUGGACUCAUCGCUGGAAUUGCCUUCGUCGUUGUUUUCCUCGCUUUCCUAAGCCAUUAUUGUGCCAAACAAAAAGGUGGCAAAUGAAGAGAGGGUUUCAAAAGGGAUGAUUCUAGAAUCAAGCUUCUCUCUCUCCUACAUCUUCUUUUGAAUUUGGCCAUGGCUUUGGUGGUGGUUCUCUCUUUAAAGUUAAAAACUUUUUAGCUUCCCUUAUUCUUCUUCUAUUUCUCUCUCUCUCUAAAAGAAUUCCACACAGAGAGUAUAUAAAAAGAAGUGAUUGUUUGUUGCAUGGCAUAGAAUGGUUCAUUGAAAAGGAAGGCUGCAAAUAACAAAGAGGAAGUUCAAAAGAUUCGACAUGUCGGACCCACUUAAGUUCAAAUUUUAGCUUCUUAUGUUGCUUUUUUUUAUUUUUUUAUUUUAAUUUUCCUUUUUAUUUUCCACUAUUGAUAAUUGGAAUAUGAAUGCCUUUUUCUUUUAUGGGAAAAAGAAAGAAAAAAAAAAGAUGCAAUAUGUUAUUGGUGUGGGUUUGAUAU